rnacentral:lncRNA from 10 species
CUUGAAGCCAUAGAAUUUAGGGGCUUUUUUAAAAAAAUAAAAGAAAAAUGAAACCAAACCCAAGUGUAGAGGGAUUUGUCUGGGCUUUCCACGAAGCUUGACCUGGAACGGGCGUUGCUUCCAUCCCCAUCCUGCCUGUCCGGGACGAGUCCGGAGCGGCUGGCGGCCUCCGGUAACAGAAACCGACUGAUGAGGCGGAAGGUAAGGAAGAUGGAAGCAGAGGGCAGAGCUGGGCUCUGUCUGGGGAGAGGGCAGGAGACGAGUGUUCACGUACCAUGGAAAGGGGAAGUCACACACAUGCGACUUGGCCCCGGGGGUCCCGUUCCCCGACACUACACAAAUAUACCUGAAAGCCUCAGCGACGGGGCCCAGGCAGGAUGGUCCUGGCUGCUCUGACGGCGGAAGGCCUCCUUGACUCCCUCUGUUCACGCAGCAGGGCAGAAAACAUCUCCACGGGGGCCACGACACUGUGAAGGGAAUCAGCAGUAGCUCCCAGAAGAACAGCGGAAACUGCAGGCAGGUAGAGAUAGGGUUGCCUGUCUGGCUCUGUUGUCCAGGCACUUGCGGAGGACGAGGUGGGAAAGUGACCCUGGGAUGAGAGGCGUGAGCCACCACGCCGGGCCGAGUGCAGCUUUGUCGGUAACAAAUUACAAAUUAGCAUUUGUUCCCUG